rnacentral:rRNA from 1 species
UACGUAGGGGGCUAGCGUUGUCCGGAAUCAUUGGGCGUAAAGAGCGUGUAGGCGGUCCGGUAAGUCCGCUGUGAAGGUCGGGGGCUCAACCCUCGAAUGCCGGUGGAUACUGCCGGGCUAGAGUACGGAAGAGGCGAGUGGAAUUCCUGGUGUAGCGGUGAAAUGCGCAGAUAUCAGGAGGAACACCAAUUGCGAAGGCAGCUCGCUGGGACGUUACUGACGCUGAGACGCGAAAGCGUGGGGAGCAAACAGG